GUCCUACGGGGGGCAGCAGUGAGGAAUAUUGGUCAAUGGGAGAGAUCCUGAACCAGCCAAGCCGCGUGAGGGAAGACGGCCCUAUGGGUUGUAAACCUCUUUUGUCGGAGAACAAAACCCGGGACGUGUCCCGGACUGCGUGUAUCCGAAGAAAAAGCAUCGGCUAACUCCGUGCCAGCAGCCGCGGUAAUACGGAGGAUGCGAGCGUUAUCCGGAUUUAUUGGGUUUAAAGGGUGCGUAGGCGGUCCGUUAAGUCAGCGGUAAAAUUGCGGGGCUCAACCCGGGCCGGCCGUUGAAACUGGGGA
rnacentral:rRNA from 1 species